rnacentral:rRNA from 1 species
CCUACGGGAGGCUGCAGUGGGGAAUAUUGGACAAUGGGCGAAAGCCUGAUCCAGCCAUGCCGCGUGUGUGAAGAAGGCCUUCGGGUUGUAAAGCACUUUCAGUGGGGAAGAAAGCCUUGGGGCUAAUACCCUCGAGGAAGGACAUCACCCACAGAAGAAGCACCGGCUAACUCCGUGCCAGCAGCCGCGGUAAUACGGAGGGUGCGAGCGUUAAUCGGAAUUACUGGGCGUAAAGCGCGCGUAGGCGGUCUGAUAAGCCGGUUGUGAAAGCCCCGGGCUCAAUCUGGGAACGGCAUCCGGAACUGUCAGGCUAGAGUGCAGGAGAGGAAGGUAGAAUUCCCGGUGUAGCGGUGAAAUGCGUAGAGAUCGGGAGGAAUACCAGUGGCGAAGGCGGCCUUCUGGACUGACACUGACGCUGAGGUGCGAAAGCGUGGGUAGCAAACAGGAUUAGAUACCCCGGUAGUC